AACGAACGCUGGCGGCAUGCCUAACACAUGCAAGUCGAACGAGACCUUCGGUUCUAGUGGCGCACGGGUGCGUAACGCGUGGGAACCUGCUCUUAGGUUCGGAAUAACUCCCCGAAAGGGGUGCUAAUACCGGAUAAUGUCUUCGGACCAAAGAUUUAUCGCCUUUGGAUGGGCCCGCGUUGGAUUAGCUAGUUGGUAGGGUAAAAGCCUACCAAGGCGACGAUCCAUAGCUGGUCUGAGAGGAUGAUCAGCCACACUGGGACUGAGACACGGCCCAGACUCCUACGGGAGGCAGCAGUGGUGAAUAUUGGACAAUGGGCGAAAGCCUGAUCCAGCAAUGCCGCGUGAGUGAUGAAGGCCUUAGGGUUGUAAAGCUCUUUUACACGGGAUGAUAAUGACAGUACCGGGAGAAUAAGCCCCGGCUAACUCCGUG
rnacentral:rRNA from 1 species